CCCUUAGAUGUCCUGGGCCGCACGCGUGCUACACUGAUGCAUACAGCGAGUACUCCCAGCUCCGAGAGGCUGCUGGUAAUCAGCAAUAUGCAUCGUGAUGGGGAUAGAUCUUUGGAAUUAUAGAUCUUGAACGAGGAAUUCCUAGUAAUCGCAGGUCAUCACCCUGCGUUGACUAAGUCCCUGCCCUUUGUACACACCGCCCGCCGCUCCUACCGAUUUCGAGUGAUCCGGUGAAUCAUUCGGACCGCGGCCCCUAGGCAUGCGGAAAGUCUAGUAAACCAUAUCACUUAGAGGAAGGAGAAGUCGUAACA
rnacentral:rRNA from 1 species